GAUGAACGCUAGCUACAGGCUUAACACAUGCAAGUCGAGGGGAAACGAUAUUGGAAGCUUGCUUCCGAUAGGCGUCGACCGGCGCACGGGUGAGUAACGCGUAUCCAACCUUCCCAUGUCCACGGGAUAGCCCGUCGAAAGGCGGAUUAAUACCGUAUGAGGUCACAUGCGGGCAUCUAAUUGUGACGAAAGGUUUGGCGGACAUGGAUGGGGAUGCGUCCGAUUAGCUAGUUGGCGGGGUAACGGCCCACCUAGCCGACGAUGGGUAGGGGUUCUGAGAGGAAGGUCCCCCACAUUGGAACUGAGACACGGUCCAAACUCCUACGGGAGGCAGCAGUGAGGAAUAUUGGUCAAUGGGCGGAAGCCUGAACCAGCCAAGUAGCGUGCAGGACGACGGCCCUAUGGGUUGUAAACUGCUUUUAUGCGGGGAUAAAGUGGGCCACGCGUGGCCUUUUGCAGGUACCGCAUGAAUAAGGACCGGCUAAUUCCGUG
rnacentral:rRNA from 1 species